rnacentral:lncRNA from 1 species
CCUUUCCCGCGCGACCGGCGAGGGAGGAAGAAGCGCGAAGAGCCGUUAGUCAUGCCGGUGUGGUGGCGGCGGCGGAGACUGCGGGCCCGUAGCUGGGCUCUGCGAGGGUGCAAGAAAGCCUUUGAGGUGAAGGUGUAUGAAAGUCAUCAUAACAGAUGUUUUCCAAAAACUUGUAGAAGGUUGUGAAAAAACUACUAGGAUCACGCGGCAUGUAUUGAGGCAUAUAGGUUGCUGUAGAUGAAUGUUCUUAGCUGUCAUGUUUAAAAAUACUUCUGCUUCGUUACCUCAAGGUGUGGCAUGCAGCAUUUUGGAAGGAAAAUUGAAGACGUGUUCAAGAAAACAUGAACAGAAGCAAAUGAUGAAAAUGAGCAUUUUACUUGAUGUUGAUAACAUCACAAUAAAUUAUGGAGAAAAAUACAUAUUUGGCUAACUUUUAAUUGCUGAACAAUAAAGUGUUUUCUUUUAAAUCAACUCUA